AGGGGAAGUUCAACUAGCAAGAACUGCUAAUUCAUGCAUCUGAGUCUAAAACCUCAGUCCCCUC
rnacentral:tRNA from 1 species